UUUGUUAUUGGUAUGAGCUUUUCAUGUGCAUGCACACUUGGUAUCUGUGUGCAUGCACAUGAAAGCUCAUACCAAGAACAAA